GCUGGAAAACAUACAGGCAUAGAGGCUUGACCACAGCAUUUGACCACCAUAUGUGAACUUAUUAAGAGGAGUGUAUCUGUCCCAAUAUAAGACCACAAGUUUCCAUAUACUUUGUAAUAUGUUUUCUGUACUCUAAAGUCUUUCUCCAAGUAGAAGGACAACAAAGGUACUGUUAUUUAAAGAAUUGCAAAGGAAACCAUUGCAUUGCAAGAAG